GAUGAACGCUGGCGGCGUGCCUAAUACAUGCAAGCCGAGCGAACAGACGAGGAUCUUGCUCCUCUGACGUUAGCGGCGGACGGGUGAGUAACACGUGGAUAACCUACCUAUAAGACUUGGAUAACUUCGGGAAACCGGAGCUAAUACCGGAUAAUAUAUUGAACCGCAUGGUUCAAUAGUGAAAGACGGUUUUGCUGUCACUUAUAGAUGUAUCCGCGCCGCAUUAGCUAGUUGGUAAGGUAACGGCUUACCAAGGCAACGAUGCGUAGCCGACCUGAGAGGGGGAUCGGCCCCAGUGGAACUGAGACACGGUCCAGACUCCUACGGGAGGCAGCAGUAGGGAAUCUUCCGCAAUGGGCGAAAGCCUGACGGAGCAACGCCGCGUGAGUGAUGAAGGUCUUCGGAUCGUAAAACUCUGUUAUUAGGGAAGAACAAAUGUGUAAGUAACUAUGCACGUCUUGACGGUACCUAAUAAGAAAGCAACGGCUAACUACGUG
rnacentral:rRNA from 1 species